GAGUUUGAUCCUGGCUCAGGAUGAACGCUAGCGGCAGGCCUAAUACAUGCAAGUCGAGGGGCAGCGCGGGUAGCAAUACCUGGCGGCGACCGGCGCACGGGUGCGUAACACGUAUACAAUCUGCCUUUAACAGGGGGAUAGCCCGGAGAAAUCCGGAUUAAUACCCCAUAAUAUAUUGAGUGGCAUUACUUGAUAUUGAAAGCUCCGGCGGUUAGAGAUGAGUAUGCGCCUGAUUAGUUAGUUGGUGAGGUAACGGCUCACCAAGACUUCGAUCAGUAGGGGAUCUGAGAGGACUACCCCCCCACACGGAUACUGAGACACGGAUCCGACUCCUACGGGAGGCAGCAGUAAGGAUAUUGGACAAUGCCCGCAAGGGUGAUCCAGCCAUGCCGCGUGCAGGAAGACGGCCCUAUGGGUUGUAAACUGCUUUUACACCGGAGAAAACCCCUUCUCGUGAGGAGGGCUGAUAGUAUGGUGAGAAUAAGCAUCGGCUAACUUCGUGCCAGCCGCCGCC
rnacentral:rRNA from 1 species